rnacentral:rRNA from 1 species
CCUGGCUUAGGAUGAACGCUAGCUACAGGCUUAACACAUGCAAGUCAGGGCAGCAUGAAGAUGUGCUUGCUACAACUUGAUGGCGACCGGCGCACGGGUGAGUAACGCGUAUCCAACCUUCCCUAUAGUAGAGAAUAGCCCGGCGAAAGUCGGAUUAAUGCUCUAUAUGUUCUAUUGAUGGCAUCAGAGAUUGAACAAAGAAUUUCGCUAUAGGAUGGGGAUGCGUCUGAUUAGCUUGUUGGCGGGGUAACGGCCCACCAAGGCGACGAUCAGUAGGGGUUCUGAGAGGAAGGUCCCCCACAUUGGUACUGAGACACGGACCAAACUCCUACGGGAGGCAGCAGUGAGGAAUAUUGGUCAAUGGGCGCAAGCCUGAACCAGCCAAGUAGCCGUGCAGGACGACUGCCCUAUGGGUUGUAAACUGCUUUUAUAGGGGAAUAAAGUGAGGUAUGUAUACCUUUUUGUAUGUACCCUAUGAAUAAGGACCGGCUAAUUCCGUGCCAGCCGCCGC